AGACUCACUGCUGAGCAGGGAGCCCAAUGCGGGACUCGAUCCUGGGACUCCAGGAUCAUGACCUGAGCCGAAGGCAAUUGCUUAACCAACUGAGCCACCCAGGCACCCCUCUCUCUCUGUCUUUAUCUCCCACUCGCAAAUAAAAAAGAAGAAGGAGAAGAUGGCUGAUACCAGCUCGCCAAAUCAGUUGGACUACUUGGUUGCAGUACGUCUUCCAUAGUGGAGGCCUCUGGUGGCCAUUAAUAUGCAUUCAGAGAUCUUUAUAAUCCAUGCCCACUCCUGUCCAUCCAUCCAUGUGCCUCUACCCUUGUCCCUGACCUUCUUUCUCCUUUUAGGCCCCUGGCCAACCAGCCAAGCCGUUUGCUACUUCCAUGAGUUUGUUUUUUUUUUCUGGCCUCGGGCCUGUUCUAUUUCUACAGAAGGUGGGUGGCUGGAUAGCCUGAUUUGUGCCUUGCAAGGAUUUCCCUUCGCCGCUGUCUUAAAGGGCCACCUGAGUGGAGCUAUCUUGCAGCAGCAGUUUAUUUUUGUUCUGCAUCUACAUACCAGGCCAACCCAUCUGUGAACCAACCUUGGCUUUUUUUUUCUCUCUCUUCUGUAAGUUGGUUGUACGGGACACACACCCAUCCUCUUGGUCAUAGGUGUGAGCUGAGGGAGAGGCCUCUGUGCAACAAUAGUGAACGGCGUGGGAGGCAGUCUGGGCCACCUGCUCAUGUCCAGUGCCCUAACUACCACAUAUCUUAGAAUGGAUUGCUGCCGGGCCUACUCAGAUUUAUAGUUUAAUGUCUGUUGAGUCACAUUGUCAAGCACUCCACAAGGUGCAGCAGCAAACCAAGAGCUAUUUUCAAAUGACCUAUAGUUCCUUGUGGCAAAUGCCAUGGCCUUACUCCAGAACCGCAUGGGUCUACAUUGCAAUCUCCAGUUAGGUUUACCAUAAGCUCUAUACAGCAUCUUUGCCCAUCACAGAUGCUUUAAGUAUCUUAAGAUCUACCAGGUUUUAUGGACCAAGGGGCAAAGCUGCUUACGCCACAUGCUGCAGUCAUUCCUGCUCUGGACCCUACUUAAAGCUUUCCAUGUGAUGUGGCAAAUGGGUUAGAGCACUAUUCCCAUGAAUGGACUUUGCUGACCUUAGAAUCCAUACUGACCUAUGGAGCAUAUGAUUCCUUUUUAGUGAUGGGAGAAAUUAGUCCUUUAUGUUGAAGAUGUCCCAGCAGUCUCCUAAAUCUUUAUAGGCUUUAUCUCCCAUCAUACUUGCACUUGUAAUAUGCUUAUCCUGUUUGGUUGAUGUGAAGCCAUCAAUGUAUUGGACUAAUGUCCUGCAGCAUAUCUACAAGGUCAGGCUUCCUACAAACUGUAUUUUUUUUUUUUUAAAGAUUUUAUUUAUUUAUUUGACAGAGAAAGACACAGUGAGAGAGGGAACACAAGCAGGGGGAGUGGGAGAGGGAGAAGCAGACUCCCUGCAGAGCAGGGAGCCCGAUGCGGGACUCGAUCCAGGGACUCCAGGAUCAUGACCUGAGCCGAAGGCAGUCGCUUAACCAACUGAGCCACCCAGGCGCCCCUACAAACUGUAUUUUGACAGCAGAAGAACUAACACAGCCCUGGGGCAAGGUCAUGAAAGUAUAGUGGUAUCAGUCUUCUGUGAAUGCACACUGCUCUGGCCCUCAGUAGAGGUGGAUAAGAAUAUAUUUGCCAAGGAGGCCAUAUACCAGGUACCACCAUGUGCCUGAAGCAGCGUUAAUUUAUUCUGACAAAGAUACCGCAUCUGUCUGGUUUUUUAGUGACCUGACUGGUGAAUCAAUUGAGAAUAAGCAGGCUGUCAUCUUUAUGUCUUUUCCUUUAUAUCUCUUUUAUAUAUUUAUAUCCUUUUAUAUUAAAAAAAAAAACCUAGAUCUCUUUUAAUCUCCUUGAUAGCUCCUCUCAGACCCACAGGAUAUGGCAUUAUUUAUGAGUUACUAUCUUGGCUGGUGGGGGCAGGAGGGUGGUUUCAUAGGCUUUCCCAUGGCCUACCCCAGUGUGGUUAACUAGAUGGUCUGCCUAGCUACCAAGUAUGUGCAUUCUGAUUAUACAUGCUGGGACUAGUCAAAUAACCACUGGUAGGUCUGUGGACCCAGUGGGCCCACUCUGAGUCAGACCUGUAUAUAUCUCCAUAUAUCUCCACCAGCAUUCUAACACAGGUCAUGAUGACGCUUUGGGUACCCAAUAGCAAUGUCAACUCAGAUCCGUAUGUCCAAUCAGUCCUCUGAAUCUCUGGAUCUUCCCCUUGGCCCAUACAUCUCUUGGGGAAAGACAAAGAAGGUAACCAUCCCAUAUAUGUUGUGUGAUAUUGCAGGAUACUUACUUCUGAGGGCUCAGCUUUCCCUUCAAGUCACUGAGUUGUCCAGAACCUGGGCAACAGAUUAUGAUUUUGUUGUUGUUGUUGUUUAGGUGCUUACCCUCAGCCUCCUUGAUUUCUUUUGAUUGUAUAUAGAUUGCGUGAUACCCUUGUUGGCUGCCCCUCUGUCUAACUUGCCCUUCAGAAUGCCAUGUUCUAUUAACCAUUUCUAUGUUCUCUCUGGGUUAGGCUAUCUUAGCUUCCAUGGUGAUUUUGCUCCUUAUUACAAUAAUUACAUCCACCUUGCUUCUGAUAUCAUAUGCUUCUCAGCCUCUAUUAAUUUGAAUCUCUAUCCUCCCAUUGUUAUCAGGGCUAGUUCUAUAGCAGUACCUCCUAGUCUCAGCUCUCGCCCGCAGAGGACAGCUACCACUGAGCUUCUUCAGUAGUAGUAUUUCUCACCAACACAUUUCUUAUCAUUCUGCUAAACAAAGUGUCCGCCUGGCCCUCCCUCCCAUGGAACAUAGUUGAUGGGUUUUCUGAUCUUAGGUAAUAUGCCCAUUUUAACACACCCACUUCUCUGGGCCUUGGACCCCUUUCUUUGCCACUUACUGUGGCAAUUUUGGCAUUUCUGUUGUACUUAGUGUGGACUGUUGCUUCUUCUAAGCUCUUAGGGAACGACCUACCAGCAUAUUUGCAUAAUUUUUAGGGCCUUUGCCAGGAUAUCAAUCUUCUAUCAUAGGAGAGUGUCCUCCUAUUGAUAAACACUCAUAUCCAACUUUAUAUUCUGUUUCUGUCAAUUCAGCAUCACCCGGAUCCAGUCCCAUAUCUAUUCUCCAUGCUUCUGCCAGUAUGUACUGAUGGGGUCUUAUGGUUCCUUCGAUACAAAGCCUCUUCCCAGCAGACCCAGCACUUCCCUGGCCGGGUGGUGGUGCAGCUUGACCUGUUACUGGCCAGGCAGCCAGGAGAGAAGGUGGGAGCAGACUGAAGGGGAUGAGCAGACUUUGAGUGGUCUACAGGCAGUGGAGAGUGGGUCACAUCUGAUCUCAGGCCCCAGUGUGUGGAUUCCAAAGUUCUCUACAACAGAAGCAUCAUCCAAUUCUACAGGGAGUCUAGAGCUGCUGUGAUCCCCAUUUCAAGCCUCAGUUCCUUCUCUACUGGGGCCCUGCCUAAGUUGAGAAUUUAGUCUUCUCUGGAGCUCUGUUCCCUUAGCAUUAUGUCCUAGCCAAGCCUCCACUGCUUCUGUCCUCUGGCUGAAGGAGAUGAGAGGUUCUUUAUAUGCUCCCAAGCAGACCCCUCUGACUCUCACACUUUGCCUUAAAUAGGUGAGUAACUGUCCUCAGCCUGUUGCUGUCAUUCCCCAGUGCAUUGACAGCCCUCAGCCCGUGAGGGGGGAAGGAAGCCUAAUGGGGCAGAGGGAGAAGGUGAACAGCAAUGCAGUCACAACAAAGGCCUCAGCCCAUCCCAUGAUAAGCUCUAGAGCUUCUCUGGUCCUUCAGAGUUACCUCAAUUUAGGAGCUGGAGCUAUCCCUGGCAGCAUUGACCAGUUAUUAGAUGUGGGGUGCACCCAGAGGAGGCCCAACCUUGGAUACAGGCUAUGAAUAAAAAGGGUCCUUGACCUCGAGGAGCUCACAGUUGGAAACCAUACACCCACAGAAGAGUCAGGACAGCCGCCAAGAUGUCAGCAACAAGAUGUGUGCAACAUGAAUGGGGGGGGUGGGGGGGGGCUUGUGACUAAAAAGAUAAGACAAUUCUUGGUACAGUUGAGUUUGUUCGUUUUUUUAAUGAGCUUUGGAGUUCAAAUUUUCCUUUCCUCAAGAGAUGCUCAAAUCUCUGACUCAAAAGGGGAAAACUUCCUGAGGGACCCUGAAGCACAGAGCUAGUGAGCGUGACCCGCUCAGUCAACAGGGACACCGCCACCCCCCCCCCCCCCCCCCCACACACACGCGUCCCUUCUCACUGAACUGUGCCGCAGAGGAGGCGGGAGACCUCGACUGUGGACUGUUGAGAGUCGCAUGGCCGGGGCAGGGCGCUCCAUCAGAGGUGAGACCCUCACAAGGGCCAUGUGUGUCAGGAAGUGGCCCUUCCUUCUGCUCAUGAAUGCAACGAGAGCUCAGAGUCAGGGAAGGUCCCAGUCCACGAAUAAAAGCGUAAGGGGGGAGCAGUGUGUCCGCCUGCCUGAUGGCCCUCAUAAAAACUGCCACAAGAUGGCAGCAGGAGCUCGGGCCAUAGGGAGCGGUGGGGGAGGAUGGUACUGGGGUAGAGUUGGUACCCCUGACAUACACACGUUCCAGAAGAGGUGUGAGGAACAAAAAACUGCAUACAGGCUCUUGGAACCUAUUUAAGUCAGGGGCUUACACGCUGGUACUUCCCCUGGCCACGUGCCGUUUCUCCCAAGGUUCCCAUGUGUUGCUUGUCUCCUGUACCUAUUUACAUUGGCCCCAUUUGAGUUCUUCCCUCUGGCUGAAUGUGGACCCUUCAGUCAGAAACCUUAAUAUCAAGACUGCCCCUUAAGACAUCCGGGGCUUGUGCAAAGUGCUCUCCUUCCACUGUUCCCCCUGCCCCUCACAAGAGACCCCACUCGGGUCUGUAGAGCUGGUGCUUCUCAGGACCCAAGAGAACACUGUGCCUGCAGGCCAUCGGCCUUUGCUCUCAGGAGAAAGCGAGCGGUAGCCUUUGGUGCUCUCCAGCCGCUGGGUGGGGAGAGCGUGCAGGCGCGCCCCGCUCCACACACAGCCCCUCAGGCCAGCGGGUAGAAACCUCACUGGGCAGUUUAACAGAGGCUGUAAUCUGAGGCGUUCAAGAUGAGCGAGCAGGUGAGGGAGAGCAGAGAGGGAAGGGCCCCGAAGGAACAGGACCGGUGAUUACAGCAGGAGCUCCUGCCCCAGGAGCAGAGGGAAGAGGUGAGCCUCUCAGAACCCCGUGGGCCUGGCUCAGCUGCAACUCCAGCUCUGAGGGGACAUGCCCCUCAGGGGUACCCCGCAGCUGAAAAGGGGCAAACGGCUGAAGACGUGACGGCUGCAAGGGCUCGGGGGGAGCAAAGCUGAAAAGUCAGCCCUGUGCCUUCCCCUCCUCCUCCCUUCCAGGCUCCUUCGGCCUUUCUUGCCCAGGCAGCUGACAAAGGGGGAGGGUAAUGUGGGCAGUGUGGACGGGGGUCUGGAGCUGAGAGGGGGCAGACCAGCCCCUGGCCAGGCAGCUCUACCAUGAGCUGCCUCAAGGUGGGCGCGUGCUGAAGGGCAGAGUCGCCACCCAGCUCGUGAGCGAGUUAUGCUCGGAGAGAGGGGACAGACGUGCGGGAGAGGAGAACGACUUCAACGGGGGUGGGCAGGCUAGAACCAACCCCCAACUCCUGAGCGCAGCUCCGCGGGCAGUGGGGCAGCAGAAGGAGCAACUUGAGCCCCCUGGGGGCCACACAGGCCUGGACAGGGGCCGCCAGGGCUAGCCCCCAGCAGGUGGCAGGCCAGAGGGGCUCCUUGGAAGUCUGCCCUGUAUAAGACCCCAGGGGCUCUGCGCAUCCGUGGGGGGUGUGCAGGGCACCAAUAAGGACGGGCUGAAUUUCCCGGAGGUACAAGUGGUGACACACACAUAACAUAAAGUUUAGCGUCUUACCCGUUUUUAAAUGUGCAGGUCAGUGGCGUGAAGUGCAUUCCCACCGUUGUGCAGCCAUCACCACGGUCCAUCUCUAGAACUCUUCAUCUUGCAAAACUGAAACUGUCCCCAUUGAACCGCUCGGCAUUCCCUCCGCCCCCAGCCCCCGGCAGCCACCGUUCGGCUUUGUCUCUGUGAAUCUGACUGCUCUAGGUACCUCAUGUGAAUGGAAUCGCCCAGUAUUUGUCCUUGCGCUCAGUAUGUGGUCUUCAGGGUUCAUCCGCGUAUCAGGAUUUCUUCCCUCUGAAGGCUAAAGGACCAUUGUGUGGCUGUGCCACAUUCUGUUUAUCCAUGCAUCUGCUGAUAGACACCUGGGUUGCUCUCACCCUUUGGCUAUUGUGAGUAAUGCUGCUCUUAUGACCCCUUUUGACAGAGGCGCACACUGAGGCAUGAGGGGUGAAGUAACUGGCCAUCAGUCCCACAGCUAGCAAGUGGCAGAACUGGGAGCCCAGCUGAGCAGUCAGCUUCAGAGAUUGUGCCGUUGACCACCACAAGCCCUUCUUGAUGCUUGUUGGGAGGCACCAGGAAAGAGAGCCCCUUCCUUUGCCAUCUGAUCAACUCGGACCCGGGACUGCUUUGCUGGGAGCUGAGUCGGGUUGAAAAUUUGUAGAGAUGGGGAGAAAUGUUGGGAAUUAGAAAACGAUUCCUUUUUUCCCCCCCAUCAAACCUUGAGUCUUAUUUUAUCCCUGGAAAACCUGGGUCAAAUGAGGAGGUAGAGAGAUUUGUUCAGUGAUGGGUCCUCCACAGGAAACUCCUACUACCUCGGUUCUGCCCCCACCAGUAACCACAGCAUCCUGACCAGUGGCCUGAUUGGGGGUGAGAACUAGAGCUCACCUACUUCCAUGUACUAAAAGAAUAGCUACUCUGCAUUCUUGUAAGGUCUUCCAUUCUAAAAUCCUUAAAUAGUCUCAUUAAUAAAUUCUUCCUAGCAAGCUGACUACCAUGGCAGGGGCAUAUUAUAAAAGACGUAUGUGAUCACUGUGGGGUGGGGAAAGAAACCAGAAAUCCCAUGGUUUCACACAGUGCUUAACAAAAAUCUAACAAAGUCUACAAAAUUUAGAUGUGAAACGUUCGCGAUUUGGGGCUUUAAGUAAAGGUCCACCACACCUAAUGAAUCAGCUCUUUGUCUGGAUAACACUUGUGUAUCAGGUUUUCAUGAGAAGACCCUGACUCUUCAGGUCUGCAGGUUUCUAAAUAUCAGAUUUCUAAAACAUAGAAUGAGUCACAGUUUUGCUGCUUCCCUUUGUCAAGGGAUUUCUUUCUGUGGGACUGAGCCUUUAACCUGUGGGGUCCUGUGUUAACUCCAGCUUGGUCAUGUCAGAACUGAACUGGAUUGUUGCACACCCAGUUGAUGUCAGAGAAUUGGUUGUUGUGGAAAAAACUCCACAGAUUUGGUGUCAGAAAAAAGAUACUGUUUUUCCACCAAAUAGUGGAAUCAUCAAACUACAGCCUGUUUCUGCGACAUUUUCCGCCUCUUGCAAUUCUAUUUUCCCUGGAGGUUUGGGCGAUUAGCCUACAUUAUCGCCUACACUCACUGACAGCCAACCAAACUGACAUAUCGGGCAUGACAAGUCUUUGCUGUGGGGACUCCUAACAAUGCAUCGGACCGCGUGUAGCAACAUCCUUGGUUUCCACCGGCUAGGUGCCAGCCAGUAGCAUCAACCUAAAAGUUCCUGGCUGCCUGAACAAAGUGCGGUGGUCGCCUGGUGACAAAGGCUAGAAAAAUGAGUGUAGUGUAGUCCUGAAGGAGACCUGGGGUCUGGUCCUGCCUCUGCUCCAAACUCCGUCUGUGACUUUGGGCACAACUACUUAACCUCUCGGCGUCCUUGGACCAGAUCAACCUAGUUCGUUCAGCGACAAAAUGCUCUGCGGGCUGUGCUUAAUUUACCUCUCUGAAUGGAAAUUAAGCUCAUUAAAGGUAGUAAGUCGGGUUUUGCCUUGAUUCUUGUUCCGUCAAGGCCUAAAUUCCCAUCUGUCUGAAGGAUUGGACCCUGAGUCUCCUAUUUCACAUAGUGAGAUGCUUGCUGGGAGGCACCAGGAAAGAGAGCCCCUUCCUUUGCCAUCUGAUCAACUCGGACCCGGGACUGCUUUGCUGGGAGCUGAGUCGGGUUGAAAAUUUGUAGAGAUGGGGAGAAAUGUUGGGAAUUAGAAAACGAUUCCUUUUUCUGAGCUGAAAAGGGGUCUGUGCUGGUCCAGAAGCUGCUGACAACCUGAAAGAGCGUCUAGCCUGUGACUCUGGAGUUGACUGUGUUAAGGAGUCUCGUGGGCUUAGUGAGAGCACCUUCCCCGCUGGAGCCUUUCCUGAGUCCCAGCCCAGGGGUGUGUGUGUGUGUGUGUGUGUGUGUGUUGUGUGUAGGGGACCAAGGUGGGAACCCAUAGCGUCCCUGGGGCAGACACGGGGGCGGGGACCUGAGGCCUGACCUAGCUGCCUGCUCAGUCCCUGCGGGUCCAGCGGCACCGGGCUGACCACAUUCUGGAGGCAGCGGUCACCAGCCACUCACCCUGCCGGCCUCUGUCCUUCAAAGAGAGGCCUCUAUCUUCUCAGAGCUGAGAGCACCUGAGCUCAGCAGGCCAGAACAGCACUGGGGGGCAUCUCCGUUCUCUCCAGAGAGUGAGAGAAACACAGAAAGUAGAAGGAAUUGAAGUCCAUUGAAAUGGUACCUUGCAGCACCAGUAAUGAUAGCAAUAACGAUGCUCACAUGAUUAAGAGCUUACCAGGCACCCUGAACUAGGCUCAGCCCUUUAUAAGAAGUAUUUCAUUUGCUUCAGGAGACAGUUGUAGUUUUUACCCCCAUUUUACAGAUUGGGAAACAAGUCACAGAGGUACCAUCCUGCCAAAACGAAUAAGCUCUAAUGAUUUCCUGUAGGAAGCACUGGGCCCGGGGAAACCAGACCCUCCACAUGCAAAGUCUCUUGUUCCCACGGCUCAGUGGGAAGAAUUUGGGACAUCUCAGCAAGUGUGGCCUAAGUUUCCUUAAAGCACUUCUGAUUCUUGGGAAAGGAGAAGAUGUGAGUAUAGGGCCCAAAUCACAGCCCGGAUGCCAAUGGGAGGGACGGUCUUCUUGCUAACGAG